AUUGAACGCUGGCGGCAGGCCUAACACAUGCAAGUCGAGCGGAUGAAGGGAGCUUGCUCCUGGAUUCAGCGGCGGACGGGUGAGUAAUGCCUAGGAAUCUGCCUGGUAGUGGGGGAUAACGUCCGGAAACGGGCGCUAAUACCGCAUACGUCCUGAGGGAGAAAGUGGGGGAUCUUCAGACCUCACGCUAUCAGAUGAGCCUAGGUCGGAUUAGCUAGUUGGUGGGGUAAAGGCCUACCAAGGCGACGAUCCGUAACUGGUCUGAGAGGAUGAUCAGUCACACUGGAACUGAGACACGGUCCAGACUCCUACGGGAGGCAGCAGUGGGGAAUAUUGGACAAUGGGCGAAAGCCUGAUCCAGCCAUGCCGCGUGUGUGAAGAAGGUCUUCGGAUUGUAAAGCACUUUAAGUUGGGAGGAAGGGCAGUAAGUUCAUACCUUGCUGUUUUGACGUUACCAACAGAAUAAGCACCGGCUAACUUCGUG
rnacentral:rRNA from 1 species